UUCCGGUUGAUCCUGCCGGACCCGACUGCUAUUUGGGUGAGGAUAAGCCAUGCGAGUUGAAUGGGAAACCUAAAAAUCCCAUGGCAAACUGCUCAGUAACACAUGAUCAACUUACCCUAUAGAGGAAAAUAACCUCGGGAAACUGAGGAUAAUGUUCCAUAGUUGAAUCGGCUUGGAAAAGUUUUUCAAUAAAAGGGAUAAGGAAAAUGGUCCUUAUCUGCUAUAGGAUAGGAUCGUGCUCGAUUAUGGUUGUUGGUGAGGUAAAGGCUCACCAAGCCGGUAAUCGAUAGGGGCCGUGAGAGCGGGAGCCCCGAGAUGGGUACUGAGACAACGACCCAGGCCUUACGAGGCGCAGCAGGCGCGAAACCUCCGCAAUACACGAAAGUGUGACGGGGUUACCCAAAGUGUUCAUUAGAACUGUGGUAGGUGAGUAAUGUUCCCUACUAGAAAGGAGAGGGCAAGGCUGGUGCCAGCCGCCGCGGUAAAACCAGCUCUUCAAGUGGUCGGGAUAAUUAUUGGGCUUAAAGUGUCCGUAGCCGGUUUAGUAAGUUCCUGGUAAAAUCGGGUAGCUUAACUAUCUAUAUGCUAGGAAUACUGCUAUACUAGAGGGCGGGAGAGGUCUGAGGUACUACAGGGGUAGGGGUGAAAUCUUAUAAUCCUUGUAGGACCACCAGUGGCGAAGGCGUCAGACUGGAACGCGCCUGACGGUGAGGGACGAAAGCCAGGGGAGCGAACCGGAUUAGAUACCCGGGUAGUCCUGGCCGUAAACGAUGCAUACUAGGUGAUGGCACGGCCAUGAGCCGUGUCAGUGCCGUAGGGAAACCGUUAAGUGUGCGGCCUGGGAAGUACGGUCGCAAGGCUAAAACUUAAAGGAAUUGGCGGGGGAGCACCACAAGGGGUGAAGCCUGCGGUUCAAUUGGAUUCAACGCCGGA
rnacentral:rRNA from 1 species